rnacentral:lncRNA from 1 species
CAGGGAGCUGGAUGGGAAGUGGAGCAGCUGGGACUCAAACCGGCAACCAUAUGGGAUGUCUGUGUCACAGGCGACAGCUCCACCCACUACGCCACAGCACCGUCCCGGGACUUCUUUCUCAUCAGCAGUGUAACAGCUCUUUCUCUUAGGGUCCCCGAGGGUUGGGGGCAGGCAGUGGUAUCUUCUCAGUGGUGGGGAGAGGACAGGAGUAGCCCCUGCCAUGGCCACAGUGGUGGGGCUGGGGUAGGACUUGUAGUCGCAAACAGGCCACGAGGACUCCUCCCCAGAGAGUCAGAUCCAGGUCUUUGCUAUAAAGGAGGCCCCGUGGGACACUGGGCUCCUUUGCCUUCCACUGAGCGGGGACAGCAUUGUCCCGAGACACCUGCUGAAGGAGGCAGCGGCAGGUGCACCUUGGAAGCACGAAUUUGCUCUCAUCAGACACCCGAAGCUCUGGUGCUUGAACGUGGACCAGCCCCAGAACUGGCAGACGCUGGGUUUCUGCUAUUUGACCCUACCCAGUCCGAGGGACUCUGUUCUUGCAGCCGGAAACAGAUGCAGAGGGUCCCCGUGUGUUUUCCUUCAUUGGAGGAAGCAGCUGUCAGGUUAGGAGGACGAAUAGAUGGGGACUUCCUGAGCAGGAGCUGCGGCCACUGUGCAGACGCGUUGCCCCAGUCCCCGCACCUGCUUCCCACGCCAGAGCCGCUGUGCACCUAUCGGGGAGAGGGGAACGGCCCUAAGGCAGGCGCCUCACGCUGGCCGAGGGGAUGCUUGUCUCUCACUCUGGGGUGGCCGUGCUCUGUUGUUGAUGAAGUCCCCACAUCUGGGGUGGCAUCUUGCUCCCAUGCGUGGAGAAGCCGUCCCCCAGCGGCUGGGGUCGUGCUCUGUACGUCAAACCUGCACCUCUCAUGCCUCCAGUUUAUCCACCUCUUACGCCUCUUAGGCAGAACCCGCAAACUGCAGAGAGCGCUCCUCAGGUACACCAAGAAGUGCAACUCCAAGUGA